rnacentral:rRNA from 1 species
UACGUAGGGUGCAAGCGUUACUCGGAAUUACUGGGCGUAAAGCGUGCGUAGGCGGUUUGUUAAGUCUGUUGUGAAAGCCCCGGGCUCAACCUGGGAAUGGCAAUGGAUACUGGCAAGCUAGAGUGCGGCAGAGGGUAGUGGAAUUCCCGGUGUAGCGGUGAAAUGCGUAGAGAUCGGGAGGAACACCAGUGGCGAAGGCGGCUACCUGGACCAGCACUGACACUGAGGCACGAAAGCGUGGGGAGCAAACAGG